CUGUGUGCCGGGCCUUUGUCUGCUACCCACAUUUCCUGUCUCUGUUAUUCUCUUCUUCAGCAAGACCAUCUGAAACCCAAAACUUUUAUUGCCCCUUUUAAAAAGGCUUCACAGCUCCCCAUCUGCCUCACCCCUGCUGGCGGGGCUGCCACUGCAGUUGGGGAAGCGGCUGCUGCGGCAGGAAUUCGCGCUGGGCUCGGCCGCAGGGUCUUGGCCCGGACCUGCAGGGAGGAGGGCCAGGUGAUAGAAACAGAGGCACAAGGACAUUAAAUCAAUGGCCAGUAAGUCGCAGACUCUGGCCUCCGUACCAGGACCAUCUGACUGCAGGGUCUACGCACUUCCAUCUGCCUCUGUCGGCAAAUGAGUUAGUAACUGGCAACACACAGGUGAUGAUUCCGGUUUGUUCAGAGCGACCAUUUAACCUUUUCAAACACGGCCCCGGUUGUGCAUGAGUGUCGUAGAAGAAUUCAAGCGUGCAGAUGAAUAAAAAGACCAUU